rnacentral:rRNA from 1 species
AAUUAAAAUAAACUAUGAAUGAUUUAAUUCGAAAUCUUUACAAUUAAAACAUUAUUAAAUUUAGUAAAGGAGAUUAAAAAUUAUUUUAUAUCUUUAGUUAAAGUACUGUGAAGGAAUAACCUUAAUUACAUAAAAGAAAAAAUUUAAUUUU